CGGGUGAGUAACACGUGGAUAACCUACCUAUAAGACUGGGAUAACUUCGGGAAACCGGAGCUAAUACCGGAUAAUAUUUUGAACCGCAUGGUUCAAAAAUGAAAGACGGUCUUGCUGUCACUUAUAGAUGGAUCCGCGCUGCAUUAGCUAGUUGGUAAGGUAACGGCUUACCAAGGCAACGAUGCAUAGCCGACCUGAGAGGGUGAUCGGCCACACUGGAACUGAGACACGGUCCAG
rnacentral:rRNA from 1 species